rnacentral:rRNA from 1 species
GGUGAAAAGCACCCCGGAAGGGGAGUGAAAUAGAACCUGAAACCGUGUGCUUACAAGUAGUCAGAGCCCGUUAAUGGGUGAUGGCGUGCCUUUUGUAGAAUGAACCGGCGAGUUACGAUUUGAUGCAAGGUUAAGCAGUAAAUGUGGAGCCGUAGCGAAAGCGAGUCUGAAUAGGGCGUUUAGUAUUUGGUCGUAGACCCGAAACCAGGUGAUCUACCCUUGGUCAGGUUGAAGUUCAGGUAACACUGAAUGGAGGACCGAACCGACUUACGUUGAAAAGUGAGCGGAUGAACUGAGGGUAGCGGAGAAAUUCCAAUCGAACCUGGAGAUAGCUGGUUCUCUCCGAAAUAGCUUUAGGGCUAGCCUCAAGUGAUGAUUAUUGGAGGUAGAGCACUGUUUGGACGAGGGGCCCCUCUCGGGUUACCGAAUUCAGACAAACUCCGAAUGCCAAUUAAUUUAACUUGGGAGUCAGAACAUGGGUGAUAAGGUCCGUGUUCGAAAGGGAAACAGCCCAGACCACCAGCUAAGGUCCCAAAAUAUAUG